rnacentral:lncRNA from 1 species
GAAAGCUUCACUGGGGUAGUCUCUGUAGUCAUGGGGAGAUAGACGCUGCUGCCUUUGAUUGGCUUCGGUCCUCACAGCUCUAAAAAGAAGCAGGAUCUUGAUGAACUCUAGGAGCUGAAAUCUAAAGCUGAACAGAUUAUGAACCAGUUUGGCCCCCAGCACUAAUCAACCUCUCCAGUUUCUCAUCUAUAAAACCAGAGCCAGCCAGCACCCGGCACAAGGCUCCAUAGCCAAUAACGCCACAGUGGAAAGAUACGGGGCACUCCUGGGACAGGUCUUAGCCCUGAAAACAACAACAACAACAACAAAAAAAAAAAAAAAACAGGUAUUGGCCAAGAAGAAAUUACAAGACCUAGUAAGAAAAGUGGAUCCUAAUCAGCAGCUGGAUGAAGAUGUGGAAAAGACACUGCCACAGAUCGCUGACAGUGUGGUGACAGCUGCCUGCCAGCUCGCUCGGCCUGCAAGUCCGGCACCGGAGAGGUGAAAGACGUCCAGCUGCAUCCAGACUGCCUGUGGAACAUGUGGAUCCCAGGACUUGGCUCUGAGGAAAUCCCACCCUCCAAAAAUGUUUGCUCCACAGAAGCUCACAAACAGAGAAUGGUGUUGAUCCGGAAAACAACCAAGAAAUAGCACAGGGAAUGGUCAGGGAAUGGACGACAUGUAUUUGCAGAUACUUGAGCUGAGACCUCAGCCAUCUCAUCCUUGGAUUUUUUUUAAAUGCUUUAUAGAGCAGCACAUAUUUUUUAUUAACAGUACAGCAAUAUCUAUAACGACUGAGAAGAUCUGCCAAAAGAAAAAAGCCUCCUAAGCCACCUUCUGGUCCCUCUUCCCUGCUGUUUGAAAGAGAAGCAGUGUAUCUUCCAGAGAAGAUUUUGCCUGUGGUUUAUUAAAUAAGUGAUUGGCUGCAGGAAGUCCGUUUGGGUUGUGCUGGGUGAGACAGUAUUAGUAGGUUUGUAAAGGGUUUGUCUCCUCCUUCCCCUGUCCCUGUACUUUGUAAUGUCAGUGUUUCUAUGACAAUGAACUUGAUUUGCUUUUCCAGAAUAAAGGAGUUAUUAAUUG